ACGCGGAUUACGGUGGCGG
rnacentral:snRNA from 1 species